rnacentral:rRNA from 1 species
UACAGGGGGUGCAAACGUUGCUCGGAAUCAUUGGGCGUAAAGCGCACGUAGGCGGUCUGUUAUGUCGGAUGUGAAAGCCCUUGGCUCAACCGAGGAAGUGCAUCCGAAACUGGCAGGCUAGAGUACGAAAGAGGAUCGCGGAAUUCCCGGUGUAGAGGUGAAAUUCGUAGAUAUCAGGAGGAACACCGAUGGCGAAGGCAGGUCUCUGGGCCACUACUGACGCUGAGAAGCGAAAGCAUGGGGAGCGAACAGG